rnacentral:rRNA from 1 species
GGAAUUUUCCGCAAUGGGCGAAAGCCUGACGGAGCAACGCCGCGUGAGGGAUGAAGGCCUCUGGGCUGUAAACCUCUUUUAUCAAGGAAGAAGAUCUGACGGUACUUGAUGAAUAAGCCACGGCUAAUUCCGUGCCAGCAGCCGCGGUAAUACGGGAGUGGCAAGCGUUAUCCGGAAUUAUUGGGCGUAAAGCGUCCGCAGGCGGCCUGACAAGUCUGCUGUUAAAGCGUGGAGCUUAACUCCAUUUCAGCAGUGGAAACUGUCAGGCUUGAGUGUGGUAGGGGCAGAGGGAAUUCCCGGUGUAGCGGUGAAAUGCGUAGAUAUCGGGAAGAACACCAGUGGCGAAGGCGCUCUGCUGGGCCAUAACUGACGCUCAUGGACGAAAGCCAGGGGAGCGAAAGGGAUUAGAUACCCCUGUAGUC